GAUGAAGAACGCAGCGAAAUGCGAUAAGUGAUGUGAAUUGCAGAAUUCAGUGAAUCAUCGAAUCUUUGAACGCACAUUGCGCCCCUUGGUAUUCCGAGGGGCAUGCCUGUUCGAGCGUCAUUAUAACCCUCAAGCUCAGCUUGGUGUUGGGGCCUGCUGCACUGGCAGCCCUUAAAAUCAGUGGCGGCGCCAUCUGGCUCUAAGCGUAGUAAUUCUUCUCGCUAUGGAGUCCUGGUGGAUGCUUGCCAUCAACCCCCAAUUUUUCUAUGGUUGACCUCGGAUCAGGUAGGGAUACCCGCUGAACUUAAGCAUAUCAAUAAGCGGAGGA
rnacentral:misc_RNA from 1 species